CAGCAGCCGCGGGAACACGUAGGGGGCGAGCGUUGUCCGAAGUUACUGGGCGUAAAGAGCGCGUAGGCUGGUCUUUAAGUGAGUGGUGAAAGGUUCGGGCUCAACCCGGACACUGCCUUUCAUACUGGGGACCUUGAGUGUGGGAGAGGCGAGUGGAAUGGUCGGUGUAGCGGUGAAAUGCGUAGAUAUCGAUCGGAACACCCAUGGCGAAGGCAGCUCGCUGGCCUAACACUGACGCUGAGGCGCGAAAGCGUGGGGAGCAAACAGGAUUAGAGACCCGUGUAGUCCCUGUCUCUUAUAC
rnacentral:rRNA from 1 species